rnacentral:rRNA from 1 species
AUUGAACGCUGGCGGCAUGCUUUACACAUGCAAGUCGAACGGUAACAGGGUGCUUGCACCGCUGACGAGUGGCGAACGGGUGAGUAAUGCGUCGGAACGUGCCGAGUAGUGGGGGAUAACGCAGCGAAAGUUGUGCCAAUACCGCAUACGUACUGAGGUAGAAAGUGGGGGACCUUCGGGCCUCACGCUAUUCGAGCGGCCGACGUCUGAUUAGCUAGUAGGUGAGGUAAAGGCUCACCUAGGCGACGAUCAGUAGCGGGUCUGAGAGGAUGAUCCGCCACACUGGGACUAGGACACGGCCCAGACUCCUACGGGAGGCAGCAGUGGGGAAUUUUGGACAAUGGGCGAAAGCCUGAUCCAGCCAUGCCGCGUGUCUGAAGAAGGCCUUCGGGUUGUAAAGGACUUUUGUCAGGGAGGAAAUCCCUAGUGCUAAUAACACUGGGGGAUGACAGUACCUGAAGAAUAAGCACCAGCUAACUACGUGCCAGCAGCCGCGGUAA